rnacentral:misc_RNA from 1 species
GAUGAAGAACGCAGCGAAAUGCGAUACGUAGUGUGAAUUGCAGAAUUCAGUGAAUCAUCGAAUCUUUGAACGCACAUUGCACCUCUCGGUAUUCCGGGAGGUAUGCCUGUUCGAGCGUCAUUUGUACCCUCAAGCUCUGCUUGGUGUUGGGUGUUUGUUCCGCCUCUGUGUGUGAACUCGCCUCAGAACAAUUGGCAGCCGGCGUACUUGUUUCGGAGCGCAGCACAUUUUGCGAUCCAGAUCAACGUACAGCGGCAUCCAAGAAGCCUUAUUUAACGCUCUUGACCUCGGAUCAGGUAGGGAUACCCGCUGAACUUAAGCAUAUCAAUAAGCGGAGGA